rnacentral:rRNA from 1 species
GACGAACGCUGGCGACGUGCUUAACACAUGCAAGUCGUACGGUAAGGCCCUUUCGGGGGUACACGAGUGGCGAACGGGUGAGUAACACGUGAGUAACCUGCCCACAACUUUGGGAUAACGCUAGGAAACUGGUGCUAAUACUGGAUAUGUGCUCCUGCUGCAUGGUGGGGGUUGGAAAGCUCCGGCGGUUGUGGAUGGACUCGCGGCCUAUCAGCUUGUUGGUGGGGUAGUGGCCUACCAAGGCGGCGACGGGUAGCCGGCCUGAGAGGGUGACCGGCCACAUUGGGACUGAGAUACGGCCCAGACUCCUACGGGAGGCAGCAGUGGGGAAUAUUGCACAAUGGGCGCAAGCCUGAUGCAGCACCGCCGCGUGCGGGAUGACGGCCUUCGGGUUGUAAACCGCUUUCAGCAGGGACGAAGCUUUUUGUGACGGUACCUGCAGAAGAAGCACCGGCUAACUACGUG